rnacentral:rRNA from 1 species
GAUUGUAGGCUGAAACUCGCCUACAUGAAGCUGGAGUUACUAGUAAUCGCAGAUCAGAAUGCUGCGGUGAAUGCGUUCCCGGGUCUUGUACACACCGCCCGUCACACCAUGGAAGUUGGGGGCGCCCGAAGCCGGUUAGCUAACCUUUUAGGAAGCGGCCGUCGAAGGUGAAACCAAUGACUGGGGUGAAGUCGUAACAAGGUAGCCGUAUCGGAAGGUGCGGCUGGAUCACCUCCUUU